GACGAACGCUGGCGGCGUGCUUAACACAUGCAAGUCGAACGGAAAGGCCCUGCUUUUGUGGGGUGCUCGAGUGGCGAACGGGUGAGUAACACGUGAGUAACCUGCCCUUGACUUUGGGAUAACUCCAGGAAACUGGGGCUAAUACCGGAUAGGAGCUCCUGCUGCAUGGUGGGGGUUGGAAAGUUUCGGCGGUUGGGGAUGGACUCGCGGCUUAUCAGCUUGUUGGUGGGGUAGUGGCUUACCAAGGCUGUGACGGGUAGCCGGCCUGAGAGGGUGACCGGCCACAUUGGGACUGAGAUACGGCGCAGACUCCUACGGGAGGCAGCAGUGGGGAAUAUUGCACAAUGGGCGGAAGCCUGAUGCAGCAACGCCGCGUGCGGGAUGACGGCCUUCGGGUUGUAAACCGAUUUCGCCUGUGACGAAGCGUGAGUGACGGUAAUGGGUAAAGAAGCACCGGCUAACUACGUG
rnacentral:rRNA from 1 species